UUUUCUGAGCAUAAAAUCUUCACUGAAGUUUAUUGGUUAGCUUGUAUAUGAAUGUAAACAGAUAUUGACCACACAAACAUAAAGCUGGAAGGAGCAGAAUACACACACAGGUGGAUCUUUGAGAGUCUCACAUCAUACUUAGCAUCCACUUUUCUGUAACAGUCAAGAUAUAAAAGUCUAGGAGACUGGAGAGACCACUGCAGUGCCACUGAAGAGCAAACUCUCAAUCACGAGUAUCAGCUAUGUAUUUUUAGAUCCUUCUUGUUUCCUAAAAGAUAGCUUUAGAGAAAGCGUACCAGUUCCACGGUGGAUUUAAUUAAUCAAUAUUUAAGGUCAUGAAGUAGAAAGUGAGGCAUGCAAAAGGGGUGACAAAAAUGUCACGGAAAGAAAAACACACAUACCCAAAAGCAUUAUUACACAAAAAGAUAUCAUAGAGGCACACAGCCUUAGAGCCAGUCCUGAUAUUCAGGCCAAUCUUUUCACCUGUUAGAUGAGAAA
rnacentral:lncRNA from 1 species